rnacentral:tmRNA from 1 species
GGGGCUAUUUGGUUUUGACAGCGGGCAGAAAAGGUACGUAAGCACGCAGUGCCUCGUCUGGUUUGCACUAUAAUCCGAGCCGUCAACAAUUAUCUGGCGAAAACAAUUAUGCUCUCGCUGCUUAAUCGAAGUACAGUAGAUUAGCUUUAUCCCGAUACUAGGUGUUGGGACGAGACAUCACCCGGACGCAGUUGUUCCGAAGCAAUCCGAUAUGGUGGUGCAGGCAACUCGGGACUAGUCGUUGCAGGCCUCGAUGCUGCGGCGAAAUUUUAGAGGAUAAGGUAUAUGUUGGUUGUCGCGGUCUUGCAUAUACUCGAAAAUCCUACCGAUGACUAAGCGUGUAGAAAGCGUAUUGUUUCCUCGUUUGGACGAGGGUUCGACUCCCUCUAGCUCCACCA